CCGUCUCCUCCCUCGCCGUUGCCCUCUCUCUCGCCGUCGCCGUCGCCCACCGAGAAGAUGGCAGAUGCUAUAAGGACAAGUUGUUGGUUCUCGGAGGUGAUUCGCGAAGCUGCACAGUUAAUCAUUAAAAUUGCUGCUGGCAAAUGGGGUUGGUCAUAUUAUGAUUGGCAAGUUGAAAAUCUGGGGCGUUUAAAUUAUGACAUCAACAUAUCGACCGCUCGACAAUGCUAAUUUUGCAAAUGUACAAGAAGAAAUUUAGAAUUUGAAGGCUACUAUUAUAUUGUUGUAUAUAUUUUGAAUUGACUAUUAUUAUUUAGUAAAUAUGGAUUGAUAAUGUAUUAUUA